UACGUAGGGUGCAAGCGUUGUCCGGAAUUAUUGGGCGUAAAGAGCUCGUAGGCGGUUUGUCGCGUCUGCUGUGAAACCCGAGGCUCAACCUCGGGCCUGCAGUGGGUACGGGCAGACUAGAGUGCGGUAGGGGAGAUUGGAAUUCCUGGUGUAGCGGUGGAAUGCGCAGAUAUCAGGAGGAACACCAAUGGCGAAGGCAGAUCUCUGGCCGUAACUGACGCUGAGGAGCGAAAGCAUGGGGAGCGAACAGG
rnacentral:rRNA from 1 species